rnacentral:lncRNA from 1 species
UACUACUGUCUAGUGUGCUAAAUCAUCAAUUCUCAUUAGUGAGUGAAAUUGUACAGCUGAUUACUUGUAUUGAAAAGGGACGAUCAGUCAAGUUCCGUCAGCUAUCGUGGCUUGAUUGAUCGUCGGGCAGAUUUGACAGCAGAGUUCCGAGGAGCACACUCCUGGAAAGUUGUUAAGAACGAGAGUAAGAAUCUCUGUCCGAAUUUCGACAUCUUUACUGUUUUUCCACUCUCUUUACGACCAGGAAGAAUCUCUGGCUUGCUGCUGUUGUUGUUCUUCUUCUCACAUUGUUCUUCUUCAGCAGGGCUCUGUGUCACCUGAGACUGCAUACUCUGACGCAGGAAAUCUCGGAACUUCAUCCGUGGUCCAGCAGAUAUGAUAUGAUCCUCCGGUACGAUACUGCUGAACUCGAACUCUGAUUCGCCAUUUGGUUCACUGGUUUCAUUUCGGGGUUGCUGCUGAUCAUCUUGAAUGGAUACAAAGCCGGAAAAUGAAAGAGACUCAAACUCAAACUCCGAUUCACCAUCUUCUGCCAGAGCGAGCUGCCUGGUGUUUCGGCUGACG